rnacentral:lncRNA from 1 species
CUGGGUUCAAAGGGGACACAAAGGGAAUUUUAAUUACUUUUAUUGUUUUUCCUCUCACAACAGCCCUGUGAGGUAGGUAGGCACAUCUCUGAUUCAGGUGAUGUGGCACCCUUCACCCUAACCCCAGUUCCUCAUCCUAUUUCCAUUUAAGGAAAACAAUGCCUGAGAUGCCUCUACCCUCCCCCCCCAAUAUUGCUUAUAGGAUGGGUUCGAGGAAAUCAUGUACCUUUCAUCUCCAUCCUCUACCCCAUCUCCAAGCCACAUAGUCAUGUGAUGAUGGGGUGACCCAUUUAAAAAGGGGGUAUGAUUAAAAGCUACUCUUUUUAGUGAUGCUUCCUUUAAUCAGGUCAUCUACCCUGACUAGCCUUGAGGGGAGGUUAUCUUGAGUCUCCCAAGGAUUAAAGAGGGGAAGGAGAUUUGAUGUUGAGUAGGACAGUGGUAGAAAAGAAGAAGGAAGUGAUUAUUUAAUUAGAACAUUAAAAUUUCACAGUUCCCCCAUGACCUCUUCCCUCCCCAUCCCAAGCAUGGCUAUUCGCCCCCAAACAGAAAAUUUUUUUCUAUCCUCAAGAGGCAGAAAAACAGCAGAGAAAAGAUCAGCACCCCAGGAAGCUUGGAGGAGCACCCAUAGGAGGCUGGCGGAGACACCCACCCACAGAACCCCUCGACUGAUGGCUAGGCCAGCAGAAGCAUCUGUCUCCACCUUCCCGUUGCAUCUAUUUGACUGGCAGCAGGCAACGGAAAUGGCAUGUCCAUCAGUUGAAAUGGUGCUGUUUGGACACGUCGGGGCACAGGACUUCAUCACCAGGAUAUGGUUUGGGUUGAUUGAGUUGACUGGAAUUGGAAGAGAAGAAAGAAAAGAGAUGGGUGAGCUCUAUCAUCCUCUAACUCUUGGAAGCUGUUGCAGCCCCAGGGUGGUGGUUCCCUCACCCAUUUCCAGACUGGGGCUUUACUCGACCAACAUCUGGGUUAUUCUGCUACCAGUUCCUUGCUACCAAUUCCUUGCUGCCAGGAAUUCAAGAUAAUAACAGCCUUCUAGGUCCAGGGCCUGGCACCUAUCAUUCAU